AUCCUACGUGAAGGCAGCAGUGGGGAAAUUCCUGACGGAGGGGCAGCCAGCGGGGAUAUAUUGGACAAUGGGCGUAAGCAGUGAUCCAGCAAUGCCGCGUGGCUGAAGAAGGUCUUGCGGAUUGUAAAGUCCUUUUGGCGGGGACGAUGAUGACGGUACCCGCAGAAUAAGCUCCGGCUAACUUCGUGCCAGCAGCCGGGGUAAUACUAAGGGGGCUAGCGUUGCUCGAUAAUGACUGGUGCGUAAAGGGCUCGUAAGUAGAGGGCACAGUCAGGCGUGAAAUUCCUGGGCUCAACCUGGUGGACUGCGCUCUGAGACGUGUUGGCUUGAUUUAUGGAAGAGAGGUUGUGGAAUUUCCAGUGUAAAAGUGAAAUUCAAUUUAUCUGGGAAAGAACACCGUGUGGUAGAAUGCGGCAACGAAGGUCCAUUACUGAAAGCUGAGGCCCGAAAGCGAUGCGGAGCAAACAGGGAUUAAAUACCCGGGUACUCCACGCGAUUAAACAACCUGUGCUGCAUGUUGGGGUGCUAAGAAAUUCAGUGUCUGGACUGAUACGCUAUUCACUGCCCCAGGGGAGUACGGCCGCUCGGUUCAAGCUCAAAAGAAAUUGACGGGUUGAAACUCAAAUGAAAUUUGGACGGG
rnacentral:rRNA from 1 species